GAUGAAGAACGUAGUGAAAUGCGAUAAGUAAUGUGAAUUGCAGAAUUCAGUGAAUCAUCGAAUCUUUGAACGCACAUUGCGCCCGCUGGAAUUCCAGCGGGCAUGCCUGUUCGAGCGUCAUUUCACCCCUCAAGCCUUGCUUGGUGUUGGAGCACUACCGUUUGUAUAAAGCGGUAGGCUCUGAAAUUCAGUGGCGGGCUCGCUAAGACUCUGAGCGUAGUAGUUUAUCACCUCGCUUUGGAAGGAUUAGCGGUGCUCUUGCCGUAAAACCCCCCAACUUCUGAAUUUUGACCUCGGAUCAGGUAGGAAUACCCGCUGAACUUAAGCAUAUCAAUAAGCGGAGGA
rnacentral:misc_RNA from 1 species